GUUUUUCCGCGGCUUGCUGGCGAGCUGAUCCACGAGCGACGAUGGGUGCGGCUGAAGGUUACGUGGACGUCGCUGCAAGCUCUUUGGUCAGCAAGGCUUCACGGAGAGAAGUGUUGACCGAAGGAGCUCCAGCUGAGGACACGUGAAGGCCAGCUUCGACGUUGGAGCAGCUUCUGCCGUGAGCUGUCUUGACCGGUGUGUUGGCAGCGUGAGGGCACUCGGUGGAUCGCGCGAACGAAGUUGGCGGAGACGGAAGGAGCAGUCGUGGACGCGUGGAGACGGCCUUCUUCGGUUGAUGGAGUUGCGCACGAAGGAGACACGAGCUGGCGUGAAGACACGGAAAGGAGGGGCGCUGGAU
rnacentral:lncRNA from 1 species